CAGCAGCCGCGGUAAUACGGAGGGGGCUAGCGUUGUUCGGAAUUACUGGGCGCAAAGCGCACGUAGGCGGCUUUUUAAGUCAGAGGUGAAAGCCCGGGGCUCAACUCCGGAACCGCCUUUGAGACUGGGAGGCUUGAACGUCGGAGAGGUGAGUGGAAUUCCGAGUGUAGAGGUGAAAUUCGUAGAUAUUCGGAAGAACACCAGUGGCGAAGGCGGCUCACUGGACGACUGUUGACGCUGAGGUGCGAAAGCGUGGGGAGCAAACAGGAUUAGAUACCCCCGUAGUCCCUGUCUCUUAUAC
rnacentral:rRNA from 1 species